UUUAUGUUUCGUCCCGAAAAAGAUCCGAAUCGUUUGUGAAUCUCAUCACUGUUAGAAACCCAAGAGAAGAGAUCCUCUUCCCUUAACAUCAUCAGAGGAAAAAUCUGCUUCUUAAUCAGUUAGUUUCAGCGUUUGUCUCUUCUCGAGCAAGGCGUGGUGAGACACUUUACACAAGAUUUACCUGUAAUUCAUAACGCGCUCUGUGACCUUCUCCCUCCCUCAGGACUCUGUGGUCUGUGUGUUCUGGUGUCUGCUGAGUCACCAGAAAUCUGCCAAGACACUGACACUUGCACCUGCUCCAACAUCUGGCGCAUAAGGGCUUUAAGGUUUCAGGACCAAGCUGCAAUAUUGUAUGGACACUUAAGUAUUUGAACUUUUGAAGUUUUGAACUUUCUCAAGGCUGUCAUUCUAGACACAAAACGCCCUGUAACUAAACAUGCACUGAUGUCUUUUCUGGGUCAGAAAAUGGAUCCCUGACUGCUCUUUAUAUGACAAGCUUCUCCGUUCCGCAAUCUCUCAUCACGAUCCACUGCAACAUCCUUUGACCUGGACUGACGCUAUGGUGGUCGCUUAUCACUCCCUCAGAAGCACCCUUUGUUCCGCCCCUGGGUUACCUGAUCACUUCAAGCCCUUCCACCUCUA